UGUUGUCCCUCUCCGUCUCCCAUGGAAUUCUGUCUUUUUCCCCAUUUUUCUUUCUUUUCUCUUCAAAUCUCUCAAAAACCCAACAACCCAACCUUGAGUUUUAACUAAAAUUAAUUGAGAAAUCAUCUCGUAAACUCAUUUCCACAAUCAAUCUCACCAUUUUCAGGAAGGGUUUCAGUGGUUCUUGAUGGAGAAUGCUGAGGCUAGAGAGAGAAAGCUUUUAUAAGAUCAAAAAACAAAUCAGCCGGACAUAAAUCAUGGGAAGGUGAAGUUAGCAGAAUAGUCAUCAACGUCGUUUUCGUAAUCGCUUUUGUAUAGAUCAUCGGAAACCUCGAUCAAUUGGAAUCAAGUCAGAACACACGGGCUAUCCACCCUUCAUCUCGGUAGAAGUUUUGGUCACUUUUGAGUGGUUAUAAAUGACAUGUACUAGGAGCUUUUGGGUCUUUCUCUAUAAUGAUGUUAUUUCAAUUUGGUUUAAGCAUACUUAUGCUUUUAUAUGUACAUUUAUAAGUGCCUUUAGUUGUGUGGUUAUUACUUCUUGAAAGUAGUUUUAAUAUGGUAAAUCUCAUAUGAAUGGAAUG